AGCUAGGUUUUCCAAAAAAAAGCCCGUCCUGAUCAUCUGGACGGAUUAGUAUUAGAUAAAUAAAAUACCACAAAAUGUUGCGAACGCUCGUUUCACGAAAUCAGGCCAUAAACAGUGGCCUAAAGAAAGCUGUACGGUCCAAUGUCACAAGAUGUAUAAGUACAGAAUUAGUGCGAAGGAAACAUUCUAACAAAAUAUCAUCACCAUCAUCGCAGAAAAUUCUCAGCACUCCACAAUGGGGUAUGCAAAUCCGCCACUACGCAGAUCUACCAACGCACAUCAAAGUGAACCUGCCCGCUCUCUCGCCAACUAUGGAGAGUGGAUCUAUCGUCAGUUGGGAGAAGAAGGAGGGUGACAAGCUUAGUGAAGGUGACCUUCUCUGCGAAAUCGAAACAGAUAAGGCCACAAUGGGCUUCGAAACUCCUGAAGAGGGCUAUCUUGCCAAGGUCCUAAUUCCCGCUGGUACCAAAGGUGUUGCAGUGGGAAAAUUAUUGUGCAUCAUAGUGGAAAAUCAAGCCGAUGUUGCUUCCUUUAAAGAUUUUAAGGAUGAUUCACCUGCGCCGGCGCCCGCACCGAGGAAGAAGGAGAAAGAAGCCGCCCCCGCCGCCGCGGCGCCACCCGCGGCCGCUGCCCCGACUCCGGCCGCCGUCGCUUCCGCACCCGCCCCUGCCCCCGCCGCAGCGCAGUCUGGAGGAGGUAGGGUGUACGCCAGCCCCUUUGCGCGACGCAUCGCAGAACUGAGGAGUGUCAGACUCGGAGGACAAGGUUCAGGAUUAUAUGGUUCAUUGAAGAGCGGCGAUCUCUCAGGCAUGGCGUCGGCACCUGGCAGGGCGGCGGCUCCUCCAGCCCCACAACCCGGGGCAACCUACGUGGAUCUCCCCCUCUCGAGUAUGCGGGAAACAAUCGCCAAGCGUCUCUCCGCUGCUAAGCAAUCCAUUCCUCAUUAUCAGCUCUGCACGACAGUUAAUGUGGAGAAGACGUUACGAAUGAGAGCAAAGGUCAAUGAAAUGAUCGCAAAGACAGGACAGAAGAUAUCGGUGAACGACUUUAUAAUAAAGGCCGUUGCCGCGGCAUGUAAGCGAGUGCCCACGGCCAACUCUCACUGGAUGGAAACUUAUAUUAGACAAUUUUCGAAUGUGGACGUAAGCGUAGCGGUGGCAACCCCAGCGGGUCUGAUUACACCGAUCGUGUUCGGUGCAGACUCGCGCGGCAUUCUUGACAUCAACAAGACGGUCAAGGAGCUGGCGCAGAAGGCCAAGGACAACAAGCUUCAGCCGCAGGAGUACCAGGGCGGCACUGUCACCGUUUCCAAUUUGGGCAUGUAUGGUAUCACGAUGUUCAAUGCGAUCAUAAAUCCGCCGCAGUCGCUUAUUCUCGCCUGCGGAGGCCUACAGGAGAUCAUUGUUCCAGAUAAGAACGAGGCACAGGGAUUCCGUGUAGCAAAAUUCAUAACAUUUACGGCGUCAGCGGACCACAGAGUGAUCGACGGCGCGGUAGGCGCGCAGUGGAUGCAGGCCUUCAAGGAGAACCUCGAGGACCCCGCCAACAUCAUCCUGUGAACACCUAACAUCUUCCCUUGUUAAAUGGACACCCUCUAUAUAGGACCUUAUAGGAGAUUAUUAUCUAUUAGGGCUAUUUAUUGUCUCGCGGAUCCCGUGAAAGCGGACUCGAGACUAGACCCCCUGAUCGAAUGUAAAUGCCAUGUUUUCUAUGGACCUAAGGCUCAUAAGUGAUACUGAUAACUUAUGCGAUUCGCAUCUGAUUUCAAGUGAUUUGAUGAAAUUAUCCGCUCUAAAAAUGCUCUAUAUAAGAGUACAUUUUUGAUGACUUUUAAAAAGGCAUUUUUGGCCGUACCCUCCAUUGGGUAAUGCCAAUGUAAAGGUAAGGCCAAAAUACUUUGUACGCAGUGAUCUAACUAUCUUAACUAGACUUCUCAAAGGAAAUGAAACUAUUUUUCCGGAUUUAAUAGACUUACAGACUUCUCAAUUAAAUAUUUAUUUAUGUGUAAGUGUGUAUAUAAACUAUGUAAAUAGUAAUAGAAAAUGUAAUAGGAAACAAAAGUAAUUGCCUAGUAUCCUAUUUGAAUCCAUACCAUUUAAGUUUAUACCAUUAUGCCUCGUUCACCGCGGGCUAACUUGCUUACGAUUUUAUAAAUGUUAGUUCGCUGUGUACGUACGUUUACUUAUGAUCAUUCGUUUAUUAUUUUUAAUUUUGUUUUUAUUACCUUGAUAUUCAUUUUAGAUUUCUAGUUUAUUUUUUACUGUGACGAGGUGUCCACUUGGCAAAUUGGGAUGUAAUUUGAAGCACUGCCAUAUCCUUCGAAUAUAGUGGAAGCUUUAGUUUUAAAUAUCACUUAUCGUGAACGCUUCGUCAUUAUGAAGUUAUCGGUAGUGAGUUCCAGAGGGUUUCAAAACAAUCAAUAUUGUGGGCAUGUGUUUUCGACUAUUUUAUUUGCAGGAUAUGUAAAAUUUGUUAUGAAAUUAUUUAUUUUAGUUUUAAAUAUUAAGAAAAUACUAUAUAUCAUGAAAAAUGUCAUUCGAAACUUGGUUUCUCAGUCCAUUCUUUGUACAUUUAGAAACGAAUCAAAUUUAUUUAAAGCACUUAUGUUUAAGGUUUAAGUUGCUUAGUUCGACUUUAUAACUAUACAAAGAUUUAAAUUUACAACUUGCAUACAAGUUGACGUUAGCAUUAAGCCUUAUUUCAACUCCAUGCAAACUACUUGCACAGUACAAACGCGCACUAAUUUAAAAUGUUUUAAAAAACAAUUGAAAUCAUGUACAAAAUAAAUUAUAUAUUUCCUUUUUUUUACAGAAUAUUGAAAAGCGUUAAAAAUGCAUUUUUGUGCUAGCUGUACAGUCUUCAUCUGUAUGCCCUUUUCCUGUCACACCAAUUUUGGUACGCAUGCGUAUCUGUAGUGCAUACAUAGUCCUUUUCCUGGCUUACGGACUUUGCUCCGCAUGCGUAUAUUUGUACAAUUGUCUAUGGAAAUGAUUAGUGUUUGCCAGACUCCAUUUAUGAAAAAAAAAAUAUUGGUGGUCUUACGUCUCCUUACUUACUUUUGGUUUGAAUACAAAAAACAAGUGUAACACUUUCCAUCAACCCGGCGCCCAUUGGCAUAAAUGUAUGGCAAGGGAUCCUUCGGCUUCGACAUGCAAGUGCACAUUGACGGCGAAUAUGCCACGAUGUACUUAGGGCAUCUUCAAAUUAGACACACAUAGAAGCACGGCAGUGGCGCCACUGUGGCGCUGUAGCCGCGCCACUACUAAUUUUCAUACAUAUACAGGUUGAUACAAUAUAAAAACACGUCCAUUUUUUUUCCUGUGCAUAAGAUUCAGUAAUAGAACACAUUAGUGAAAUAAAACAAAAAAUGUCCAAAUUUUUUGAUGUUAAUAUUUUCCAAUAAUUUCUAAUGCGUGGUUACCUCAAAAUAGUAAAUAAAAUUGAGCGAUCGGCGCCGAGUUAUCCAGACGCCUAGGCGCCAGCAUAUGCGCUAACGCAUCGCGCGUUAGUUUAGUACUUUUUUGUCUGUCAAAUAAUAAUAAUAAACUCGCGCCCUGACUCCGCCCACUGCCCCCACACCGUUGUUGUUGCUAUAGCAACGACGUCUGUUAAUCAUCGGGUAUCAAUAUUGUUCAAAAUUUUUCGGAAAUCUUUGAGACUUCAUAACUUAUUCAUUUGUUUAAUAAUUGAAAAAAAAAACCAAAGUUGUAUCUUUUAUUUCUGUUAUACAGUAUGUUCCUUUAAAAUGGUCA